rnacentral:sRNA from 1 species
AGGCGCGCAGUCACUUUUUUACAGUGCAAGGUUGGCAUGUUAAUCUCCCUGGGCCUCUCCUUGCUGUUCUUUAAAAUGGGGACGUCAGGACCAUCUUUGUAGAAUCGUUUUGGUAACUGGAAUAGGUUACACAACACAAGCAGUCCCUGUCACUUGGUGAGUGGUGGUUUCUUGUUAUUUUCCCACGAAACCUGUUAGGUCCCCCACUGGGGUCAGAGCUCCGGCAGCAGGGGCCCCAGCCCUUAUCUCUGAUCCCUGCAGGACGCUGGACGAUCCCGGACGCCUUCUGACCUCCUUUUAGGAAGGCGAGGGUUGCGUCCACUUCCACGAAGGGAGGGGAGCAUUUAACUUUUCUCAGGGACAGCGACCCAGUCAGGAUGUUUCACAGCUUUCUCCUUCCCCAGCCUGAAAAAGGACUGCGCGGACUGACUUCUUGGCUACUGAAAGCAAAGCUCCACGAGGGACUGACCUUCAAGGAUGUGGCUGUGGUCUUCACUGA